CAGUAGCCACGGGAAUACGGAGGGUGCAAGCGUUAUCCGGAUUUAUUGUGUUUAAAGGGUCCGUAGGCGGAUCUGUAAGUCAGUGGUGAAAUCUCACAGCUUAACUGUGAAACUGCCAUUGAUACUGCAGGUCUUGAGUAAAUUUGAAGUGGCUGGAAUAAGUAGUGUAGCGGUGAAAUGCAUAGAUAUUACUUAGAACACCAAUUGCGAAGGCAGGUCACUAAGAUUUAACUGACGCUGAUGGACGAAAGCGUGGGGAGCGAACAGGAUUAGAUACCCCAGUAGUUCCUGUCUCUUAUAC
rnacentral:rRNA from 1 species